AACCCAUGGUGAGGGCACCUUCUCAAUAGAUCUUUGUAUCUCUCCCAUGCAUCAUAGAGUGUUUCUAGAUCCAUCUGCACAAAUAAAGAGAUAUCAUUCCUCAACU
rfam:Gossypium arboreum cultivar AKA8401 contig_54198_3, whole genome shotgun sequence.